ACCUGGAUGAAAAUCACCAACAUAAGCUCUUACUAUCACAUUAAACUUACAGGAUCAAACCAUAGUAGCUAAUCAUAAUUACAUAACAUACAGUACUAAAAAACUUCAGUACAAGUUGAAAUACAAAGAUAUUUGUCCACUUAAUUACUAACAAUAACCAAUCAACCCAUGAGACGUAAAUAGGGCAAGGCCACUAGUUUCUUCUCUUUCUGAUUUGUUCUGGAGGUUACCUCAAGUGUUUACUGAAACAUUUGUCACUUUAAUCACAAUUGCUUGCGGGUAAAUUGUUUGGUAAUAAGAAUUAUUCUUUGAUACAACAAAAUUAAGUAAGCUAAUGUUGCAUUAGGCUCACACGUCCUAGUGCUGCGAAACCCACAAUUCAACUUCAUAGAUAACCCUGAUACUGAGAAGAAUGAACCUGAUAACUUUUGAUGGCAAAGAUUGCCGGAAGAAAGCUAAAAUGGUCUUGCAGCCUCUUCCAUUAACUUCUUUACUCUCAUCAAUCUUUCCAAUUCUUUGAGAACCUAAUAUUAUUACAGGCAUAUAAAUGCUCAUGUUAAUUAGCUUGUCAAAUGUAAUAUAUACACAUUACAAAAUAUUUUUUUUUGUUAAUUAUUUUUAUUUUAUGAUUCCUAUUUAUUACCUAAAAAUUAUUACUCUUUUAUGGUUCUAAUUUUUUUGCUAUUAGUGUUUUUUAAUGAUUAUUAUCUUUGCAGUCCUUUAUUUCUAUAGGAAAUUUAAAAAAAAAAUUAUGAGACUAAAUUGAAAAUAAAAAUUGUAUGUAUUACUCUACAAAUCUUAAAUAUAAAUAGUAUUUUAUAUAUGAUUGUUAGUUUAAAUAAAUAUAAUCCAACUUAGGAUUUCUAAAUAAGAAAAAAAUUGUAUUAUCUUUAGAAUCCAAAAGGAAAAGAACUGUAUUAAUUUUUGGAAUCUUUGAACCUAAUUUUUUAAACAUAAUCUUAUUUCUUUUAGGAUUACUAAAUAAGAAAAAAAUUAUGUCAUCUUUAGAAUUCAAUAAAAAAUAUUAAAUAAAAAAGAAAAAAAUUGUAUCAUCUUUAAAAUUCAAUAAGAAAAGAAUUGUAUCUUCUUUAGAAUCCUUAAACAUGAUUUUUUGAAUUAUAACUAUAUUUUCUAUCCGAAAUUUAAAAAAAAUUAGAAGACUGAAUCGAGUAAUUGUAGAGACGCCCGCAUCCUCCUUUAUAUAUAUAUAUUGAUAUUGAUGAUUUAAAUAAAAAUCAGAAAGCAAGUUGCCCACAUCUCCUCAUAGCCACCUUAUCCCUGGGAUAUCAAAAAUCCAUACUUUUGAAAUUUGAGGUAUGAAUUUUAAUUUUAAUUUUUAUUCAACCAUAUAUCAUGAAUGAGUUUGGAAUACCCGAACCCAUGCCUGAUUUCAUAACACUCUUAACCAAACGACCCUCAUAAGACACUUGUUAGGAAAUGCACACGGUAAUGCUUCUUUUUGAAAAUGUUGCAAACAACGGCUGAUCCAACUUGACAGCAGACUUCUGCCUCUCACGGUCCCUGAAAAAUAUCAAGUCCUCUGGAUAGGUCGAUUUGAAUACCAUGUCAUACCUGGAUGAAAAUCACCAACAUAAGCUCUUACUAUCACAUUAAACUUACAGGAUCAAACCAUAGUAGCUAAUCAUAAUUACAUAACAUACAGUACUAAAAAACUUCAGUACAAGUUGAAAUACAAAGAUAUUUGUCCACUUAAUUACUAACAAUAACCAAUCAACCCAUGAGACGUAAAUAGGGCAAGGCCACUAGUUUCUUCUCUUUCUGAUUUGUUCUGGAGGUUACCUCAAGUGUUUACUGAAACAUUUGUCACUUUAAUCACAAUUGCUUGCGGGUAAAUUGUUUGGUAAUAAGAAUUAUUCUUUGAUACAACAAAAUUAAGUAAGCUAAUGUUGCAUUAGGCUCACACGUCCUAGUGCUGCGAAACCCACAAUUCAACUUCAUAGAUAACCCUGAUACUGAGAAGAAUGAACC
rnacentral:lncRNA from 1 species